CACCGAGGCUGGAUGCAGUGGCAGGAUCUCAGCUGCAACCUCCACCUCCCAGACUCAAGGGAGCUUCCCAGCCUCCCAAAUAGCUGGGACUACAGGUGUGCACCACCACACCUGGCUAAUUUUUUGAAUUUUUUUGGUAGAGACUGGGUUUUGCUAUGUUGCCUAGGCUGGUCUUGAACUAAUAGGCUCAAGCAGUCCGACUGCCUCAGCCUCCCAAAGUUUUGGGAUUACAGGCGUGAGCCAUCAGGCCGAGCAUUCAUACUUACUUUUGAAUAAUGAGUUUCGGAAACUAUAUUUAGCUACAAAGUUAAUUCUCCCUCAACACUUUACAAAAUAUUGCACCAAUACCUUCAAUUGUUCGUUGUUGAUUAUAAGGAAAUCUGUCGUGACACGUACUUCAGAAUUCACAAGGCAACAGGAAAAAAAAAUGUUCAUGAGGGAAGAAAACCAAGUGAAUAACCCAGGAAAGUUGGUGAACUGUGACAUGUGUUGGACUCAUGUGAACCAUGAAUAUGUAUUACAGGGCUAGUAAAUCAAACCCCCAAAAACUUUCUCCACCGAACUUCACCUGUAACCUCUACCAUUUAAAGGAAUUUCCAUUUCUGUGAGGUUCCCAAGAUUUGCUAAAUCUACCAGCCUGGUAAGAGCUCACCUUCUUUACUAUGUAUAAGACUGGGAAUGCAUUAGUCAGGCAUCAUGUCAGUUUUCAUAGGAGGUCUUUUUAAGCCAUACAUCUAUGUAUUAAGUCAACUUUGUUCUUUAAUAGUGGUUCAUCAUAACUGAUUGAAUGAGAAUUUAUCUCAAAUAUGCCACCAAAAGUAAGGUCGUGGUUACAUAAGAAAUUUGUGCAAUUAUAUUCUGGAUUAAAAGGAGGAAAGAUUCUACUUCAAUCUGUGAACAAAAGUGAGCUUGAAAGAGCAAAUCCCUCAAGAUGGAUUCCAAGUAGCUAACUGGGCCUAAAUUUAAAAUAGAGCCAAGCAGCCACUUCCUGACUACAGGACACACACACACACUCUGACUUCCCGCUAAACCCGCACCUCUUUAAAUCUGGGAGUUUUCAGAGCUCUGCUGUAUCAACCAGUUACAGCUGAGAUGAAUUGCCCAAUCAGAACUCAGCUAUAUUGACCAAUCACAACUAAGUAAACUUGAAUCCUUUGUCUGCAUAAAUGAACCUGAUUGGGAACCCGAAUGAGAGCUUUUGCUAUAAAAUCCAAACCCUGGCCAGGAACAGUGACUUCUGCCUGUAAUCCCACCACUUUGGGAUGUUGAGGCAGGAAGAUGGGUUGAGGCGAGGAGUUUGAGGCCAGCCGGGGCAACAUAGUGAGACCCCCCAAACAAUUUUUUGUAAAUUGCUCUACAAAAAGCAAUUAAAAAAAAAACCCAAGCCCUCUGUUUGUUCUCUGGAAUACACUUUCAUUUUAUACUGAAGGCUGUAUCUUCCCACUUUGAGAACUGUUCACUGUCACAAAGUCUCUUUCCCUCAAAUUCUGAUGUAGAGAACUUCUGUUUACAAAAUCUAUACAAAUGACUCUAUUGCCAUGAAGCACAAAGGGUAUCUAGUAAAAGUUUCUGAAUUCUGGGUUUCACUGAGAAGCAGAUGUAAGUUUAAAAUGUUUCAUUUUUAUUUAUAAAGCAAUCUAUUAAUUUAAGCCUUAAACGUCACUCAAGAAAAGACAGGAUUUCCUUAUAUAGCCAUAAAAAAUAGAGCAUUAAAAUGGCACCAACAAUAUCUCAAAUAACUAGAAAAAAAAUGGCACCAACAAUAUUUUAAACAAAUAACUAGAAAAAAAUUUUUCUAGUCAGUUCGAUGAGUGCUAUUUCAGGGCUCCCUAGCCCCAGGCCACCCUGUGACCAGCUAAGAACCAGGCCACACAGCAGAAAGAUGAGCAGCAGGCAAGCAAGCAUUACCACCUGAGCUCUGCCUCCUGUUAGAUCAGCGGCAACAUUAGAUUCUCGUAGGAGCACAAACACUAUUGUGAACUGCACUUGCGAGGGAUCUAGGUUGGGCUGCUUGCUUAUGAGAAUCUAACUAAUGCCUGAUGAACUGAAGUGAAACAGUUUCAUCCCUAAACCAUCCCUCCACCUUUCCCCUAGCCCAUCGAAAAACUGUCUUCCACAAAACUGGU